rnacentral:rRNA from 1 species
AGUAACGGCGAGUGAAGCGGGAAUAGCUCAAAUUUGAAAUCUCAUAGGGUUACCUGUGCGAAUUGUAGUUUAGAGAAGCGUUUUCGGGGGUGACUUGGGUAUAAGUCCUCUGGAACGGGGCAUCAUAGAGGGUGAGAAUCCCGUAUAUGAUCCAAUGUUCACUCCUAUGUGAUACGCUUUCCAAGAGUCAGGUAGUUUGGGAUUGCUGCCUAAAAUGGGUGGUAAAUACCAUCUAAAGCUAAAUAUUGGCGAGAGACCGAUAGCGAACAAGUACCGUGAGGGAAAGAUGAAAAGAACUUUGAAAAGAGAGUUAAACAGUACGUGAAAUUGCCAAAAGGGAAACGCUUGAAACCAGUAUUGCCUGUACGUAAUCAGCCGUGGGGCCUGAAAGGGUUAUUGCGGUGCACUUUCGUGUAGGCAGGUCAACAUCAGUUUGGUUCCAGGGAAAAAGUUGGAGGAAGGUAGCUUGGUACUUCGGUAUCUCGUGUUAUAGCCUCCAAUCCUACCUGGGACUGGACUGAGGUCUGCAGCGUUAUUUGGGUACCCGAUCGCCUUCUGAGCCUUGUUUCUAGACAGCACGCUGACUAGGGGCAAGUUUAGGGAGCCCGGUUGGUUCAUCACACCAACGCUUAGGAUGUUGGACGAAAUGGUU